rnacentral:rRNA from 1 species
UUAAGCCUACGGGGCGCAGCAGUGGGGAAUAUUGCACAAUGGGGGAAACCCUGAUGCAGCGACGCCGCGUGAGCGAUGAAGUAUUUCGGUAUGUAAAGCUCUAUCAGCGGGGAAGAAAAUGACGGUACCUGACUAAGAAGCCCCGGCUAACUACGUGCCAGCAGCCGCGGUAAUACGUAGGGGGCAAGCGUUAUCCGGAUUUACUGGGGGUAAAGGGAGCGUAGACGGUCCUGCAAGCCAGAUGUGAAAGCCCGGGGCUCCACCCCGGGACUGCAUUUGGAACUGUAAGGCUAGAGUGUCGGAGG